GGGGCAGCGGGGGCGCGCCCGCUCUCCGCCUCCCCCGCGCGCGCCCGCCGCCGCCCGGCGGCCUCCUCUGUUUUUGUUUUGAUGGAGCCCGCGUGCAGCUGGCGCGUGUCGAGUCACGUGCCGUGGGCGGGAGGGGGCCGUGGCGCGGGAGGCUAGGGCGCGGUGACGCGGGUCGAAGGGGCUGGCGCCCGCCGGGGCCACCAAGGGGACGCAAAGGGGCGUGUGGCCCCCGACGGAGCCCGGGAGUGCGGGUGGUCCUUCGCUGGCUGGUGCUCUUGGCGCUCCUCGGGGAGCAGUGACGGGUUCCUAGUCGUAGCACCUCGGGGAGCCUCGUCCAGGCGGAGGGCCGGCCUUCGCUGCUCAGCUCAGAACUCGGACCUUACAGGCAUUUUAUUAAUGCUUUUACGAGUUAGAAGAGUUGGGAUAAGGUGCCAUCUGGAGUUUCUCUGCCUUGCUGAUCUGAGCUCAGACCUGCCAAUUUACGAGAGAUGAUUGAUAACAUCCUGUAACAGCUGAGUAAGUAGAUCUUCUGUUUUACUGCUUUUUAAAAAAAAAGUUUAAAGUUUUAAAAUGCUAUGAACUCUAAUUGGGUUCUUUAAAAUUCGUCGUUGAAUAAUGCAAUUAUGAUAAUUUUAAUAAAUGAAUAUUUGUAAAUAAUGGGAUUCUGGAAGAAAUUAACCCCCGAUGAUAGAAAAGAGUUAAUGAAGACAUUCUUUGUACAUAGCAUGUAAGAAACGUAAGACUUAAAUACAUACAUUAAAAAUUUAGGCCAGGCAUGGUGGCUCAUGCCUGUAAUCCCAGGACUUCGGGAGGCUGAGGCGGGUGGAUCACCUGAAGUCAGGAGUUGAAGACCAGUCUGGCCAACAUGGUAAAACCUCAUCUCCACUAAAAAUAUAGAAAUGAGCUGGGCAUAGUGGCGGUUGCCUGUAAUCCCAGCUACUCGGGAGGCUGAGGCAGGAGAAUCGCUUGAAUCUGGGAGGUGGAGGUUGCAGUGAGUGGAGACUGUGCCUCUCUACACUAUAGCCUGGGUGACAGAGGCUCUGUCUCAAAACAAACAAAAAUCUCAAAGCAUUCUCCUUAGUGCUUUAUUUCACUUUUACAUUAUAAAAUGCAAAAAAAAAAAAAAAUAGUAAAGCAACUGUGAAUACAUUUUUUAAAUGCAACUGUAUAUAAAAUUGUCUCUUAAUGCAGGAUGCGUUUUGGUUGAUUUGAAAUAAAUACGGGUUUAGUGGAAAUAGAAUUUUAAUAGUUUUUAUCUGUUUGAAAAUAAUGAUUUUCCUGAUUCUAAUAUAGAUAAGAUCAUAACAUCUCUCUGGAUUUAACUUGGUUUCUCAAACAGACUAGGGAAGAAUGGCUUUCAUUCUUCCUAAUCAAAACACCUGAAUGAAGUUUAAAGUGUUUUAGGAGUUCAGUCAGUUAUCUUGAAAACAAAUGAUUUCUCAGAACAAGAGCUAUUACUCCUCAUAUUACAUCCUUUGAAACUUUUCACAAAACCAGUAAACCAUGAGGUUGUACCAGGGUCUUGUUUGGUAUUCUUAAACUGAAAACAGUGAAUAAAUCUGCAAGAUAUUCUCAACUGCAGUGGGAUUAUUUAAUUGUGGUCGAAAUCUGUGCUGUCCAAUAUGGCAGCAACUGGUCCCAUGUAGCUAUUGGACGUUUGAAAUAUGAGUAAUACUAAGGGAAAUGUUCUCUGCAGAAAAUACAUACCAUAUUUCAAAAACUUAAUAUGAAGGACUAAAAUAUUAAUAAGUUAUAUGUGACUCACAUGUUGAAAUGAUAAUAUUUUGGAUAUAUUGAAUUAAAACAUGUUAUUACAAUGAAUAUGUGUUUUCUUUUACUUUUUUUAUGGGACUGCUAGAAA
rnacentral:lncRNA from 1 species